ensembl:lncRNA
CGUCCCCUCGUGCUCUGUGUAUCCCCGCAUAACAGCGUGUGCGCGAGAGGCGACGUGACCGCGUUACGACUACGAGAAAAGCACCGAAAGCCACAUAAAAUGGCGAGGACUGGAUGUUCUCGCUGUGCAUAGGUGCAGGUAGAGGCGGUGUGCUUCAGACGGCUUUUUAGCUUUUUUUUUUUUUACGUUAGCGUUUCUGCAACGUGCGCGCGAGAUAAAGGAGGAGUAACGUUAUAAAAACUCUGGACGUGAAAACACGGCGCGGAGCAACGCAUGGACGUGUGAGUGCAGAAAAUACAACGUUACACGUGAUUAAAUACACGGCUCCUAAUGCAGAAGAGAACAGAGACAAGGCUGUGUAGUGGGGUUUAAAACCAGAAGCGGAGGGUUUUCUGCUCGCGUAUGUGUUGACACUACAGCGCGUGCAGGAGCGCGAGCAUUUCACGCACAAUCAAACACCUGAUGAAAACAUUAGCUCACUAGCAGCUAGCGUCUGUCUGUCUGAGAUUGUAAGGAUAAAUAACAAGCUGUGUGUGAGUUUUUGCUCAAACGCUGUUAUUUAUAUGUGUGUGUGUGUGUGUGUGUGUUUAUUUUUUGUGUUCAUUAGUGCGGUUUUGUAACUGAACUGGAAUCUCGACUCUGAUUGGUCAGAAGGAAUAUCAUUAGCUCGGAAAGUAGUUCCGACUGCCAGGCAAAUCACAGGGUUUAUAUAUUAAUGCGUGUGUCCUGAUUGGUGGUACUAUAGUCCAGGGCUCUCCAGCCUUAAAUUUGUUUGUUUGUUUGUUUUAUUUUUAUAGAACGGACAGUUUUCUUGACAUGGUAUUGUUAAAAAUGAUGUCUCCAUAGCGACUGCAUCAAACUAAAAUGCAAUAUUUCAACGAGGGCUUCAUCGACUCAUUAGCCAGUUUAUUCGUGUAGUUUUCCUGCAAAAAAAAAAAGAAGCACAAACUCUGCAUCGAUUGUUGUUUUUUUUUUAAAAAAGCUGCAGAAAAACCAACUGUUUUUGUCCUCAACAAUCACACAAAAACCCUCCUGUACGCACUGUAUAGUAACAACGUGCCAAAAAAAAAAAAGUGUGAAAUUGUUAUGGUGAUUUUUUUUUGUUUGUUUGUUUGUUUGUUUGUUUAGCAUUUCUGGAAGGAGUCUCCAGCGUCAGCGCUUUGUAACAGGGAGAAAUCUGUAGCGUUAGGUCACGGUGAAGUUUUCAGGAAGGAGGCGUUUGUCUGUCUUUGCAGUGUUUUUUCUUUCCCGCUCUUAUUAACUUCAGAAGAGGGGAAAGAGAAGAGAGACCGGCGAUGGAACGAGGGAAGGAGUCUCCCGUGUCUCGGGAAAAGUCCUCUCUUAGGACGGAGGAUUUCACACGUUCAAGUUUCACAGUAACAUAACAAGCAGCCUUUUCUUUAUUUCUUUAUUUCUUUUUAAAAUCUGAUUAACUACGAGAGAGGGAGAGGAAAAAAACGAGAGUCUUUAUAUCUGUUAUUAUGCUACAGCCGAUAACAGGAACUAACUUGUUCUGAUGAUAAUCCUAAUGUUUGGGUUUUAUUUGUUUACACUGUGCAAAGGUCACCUCUUUCCAUUUCUGCAGAGACUUUCUCAGUAUUUCGGUGUUCAAGUGACGCAGGAAGUGUUCCGUUUGUAGUCUGGCUUGGCAGGGCUGGGGUUUGAACUCACGACCUUCCAACCAGUACGUCCUAACCGCUGAACCACCACUGCCCGGUGUUCUUCAAUCGGAUUGGUCAGAAAGUCUGCCGUUGCGAUACGUUGCAUAGCGUAAUGGUUAAUAAAAACGUGUUGUUGGUUAAUAAAUGAUCUGCUUUGCGUUGGUCUGCACCUCCUCGUGGAUUAUUUUCCUGUCCCAGCAUGCACCCAGCAUGUUUUUUUUCACCGUAUUAAUAAACACAUUGAAGAACUUCUAAUUUGCAUAUUCAUAGCUGUUUGUGAAGAUAAUACUCGGUCAUUUUCCUGCUCCAACGCACCUGAUUCAGCUCGUUGCGUCAUGCCCGGGUUCGUAAAUGUGUUGGGACAGGAAUUUUCCUUUAUCUACUGUACCUACACCCCCUCACGCCAGCCACUCACCGCAUGGACGUGUUUACUGAUUACUAAGAAGGAUCUCAGACAAGGUGGAGCUGGCCGUGUGUGACGGAGCGUAAGAAUUUGUCAGCACCUACUCGAGUGGAGAGCAUUAAAAGCUUAUUUUCUGCCGCAGUGCUUCAGAGCAGGUCGUGGCGCCGAGGAGGAAAUAAACCUUUCGUGAGGAGGAAGUACGGCGGUGAAUAGAGCGCGGGACUGAGCUCGGGGGAGCGACAGAGCGGGUAAGUCGUGCUGUUCAGACACGGUGAACACCUGAAAAGGUGAAGGAGAGGUUUAAACCUUGAAUUCUUUGCGCCUUUUGUUUAGUAGGUCAGUCCCAUUGUGGUAUAAAUCUCUUUUUCAAGACGGACCUGCUCGACACCGGCUUACAGACGUCACCGUGACAUCCAAACGACAAUUAGCCUCCUGUACAUCCUGCAGCUUUUAAAAUGUCCGUCCGCAGAUCAGCGCUUGGCGCAGAUGCCAAACGUAGGCAGAGAACGCUUCAGGAUGUGCGGGUGUAGGAAAACCCACAGCGACGGGACGCUGCGACGAAGCGGGGUUCGUCAUUUUCCUAUAACGGCGUGUUCCGAGAUGAUCCGUCACUCAUCUGUGACGGCAAAUUACCCAUGAUUUAAAAAAAAAAAAAAAAAAAGAAAAGCCCCGACUUUUAUUAAAGAAUAACACACUACAGUCAAAAGUUUGUGGACACCUGGCCGUCACGUCCACGUGGGGUUCUUCACCAAACUUUUACCAAAAAAUUAGAAGCGCACCGUUGUGUAGGAAGUCUCUGUGCGCUGUAGCGUUAGAGCUAAGCGGUGCAAACCGGUACACAAAGCGAGCUCCACCAAGACGCGCUGUGUUAAGUGAUAAGGUUGGAAGAAACCCCACUGAACACCUUUUGGGAUGAACUGGAGCCUCCUCACAUCAUCAUCAGCACCUGUCCUCAUCCUCACUUACGCUCUUGAAGCUGAAUGAUCACAGAUCCCCACAGCCACGCCCCGAAAUCCCCACAGCCACGCCCCGAAAUCCCCACAGCCACGCCCCGAAAUCCCCACAGCCACGCCCCGGAAUCCCCACAGCCACGCCCCGAAAUCCCCACAGCCACGCCCCGGAAUCCCCACAGCCACGCCCCGAAAUCUAUUGGAAAGCCUUCCCAGAAGAGCGAGUGCAGCGCGUUAUAACAGCGAAGUGGGAAUAAAUCUGGAACGAGACGCUUCACGAGGACGUGUGUGUCCCGGCCACGUGCGCACAAAACUUCGGCAAUAACGUUCCAGUAAAAGUGGAACGUUUUCCUGUUUAAAUACGUAAAUAUUUGAACGUCAGAUAGUUCGACAGGGAAAUUUGGAGGUUCGGUGGGAAUUGUUAGAGAUCAUCGCUGUGUGUGUGUGUGUGUGUGUAAGAGACCCUCUGAUGGAUCCUGGGUGUUGUAACAGACCGAGCUGGUGAUGUAGUAGUAGUAGUAGUAGUAGUAGUAGUACAUGAGUAUAACAGUGUAAUGGGUGAGGAGAUGAAGGAAGAAGUGAGCAGUGAGUGUGUUGCGUGUGUACACAGGAUGUUGUGUGAAGACAUUCUGAGUAAGUCUCGGUAUGACCCAGCUGUGAUCAUUCUUGCGUGCAUCUUCCCAUUUCCUGCCCUGUUAGUCACGACCGAGAAACAGCCCACGAUAUUUCCUCAUUAGUUCUCAUUGCAUGUGCUGUCAGAGUCUCCAGAGCAUUCUGUCUGCACAUGUUUUCUUUUGGAUCUCGUUCCACGUGUACAGCGUCUUGCUUUGGUUCUCGGACUCGUUUAAAGUGCAGCUGAAGUCGGGAUACGUCCCAAACCUCAGGACCCUGCCCUCUUGUCGUACACCCCCCCCCCCACCCCCCCUUCAUUACUCACACUGAAACAUCCAGUGGUAGUGAAGCCUUGCAUGCUAGUGUGAAAUGGAGAGAUAUUUGUCAGUGCACAGAUUAUUUUUCUUGCAGCCCCUCCCUUCCCAAGGCAUUUUCUUUCCUCUCUCGACCCUCAAAUGCUCUCUCUCUCUCUCUCUCUCUCUCUCUCUCUCUCUCUCUCUCUCUCUCUCUCUCGUAGUUGACCUGUGAAAUCUCAGUAGAGACUUGUGUAAAGGAGAAAACACUCCAUAUGGAGAUGGCCCUGUUAGUGUGUUUUACAUCAUCUUCACAUUUCCUUUGCCUGAAAUCUUGGCUGUGUUCUAAACUGAUCACACUAAACGCUAAACAGUGCUUUAGGCAUUCGUCAAGAAUGUCGAUGGGGCUAAAAAUUUGUAUUCAGAAGGAGAUACACACACA